rnacentral:rRNA from 1 species
UAAAUAACUGGUGAAGAAAGGGCCGGGCAAGACCGGUGCCAGCCGCCGCGGUAAUACCGGCGGCUCGAGUGGUGGCCACUAUUACUGGGCUUAAAGCGUUCGUAGCUGGUCUGUUAAGUCUCUGGGGAAAUCUUCCGGCUUAACCGGAAGGCGUCUCAGGGAUACUGGCAGACUAGGGACCGGAAGAGGUGAGAGGUACUCCAGG